rnacentral:rRNA from 1 species
ACUUUACACUGCACGCAAGUGCGAUACGGGGACUCCGAGUGUGUGGGCAUAGAGCCCACACUUUUGUGUACCGUAAGGUGGUACACGAAUAAGAGCUGGGCAAGACCGGUGCCAGCCGCCGCGGUAAUACCGGCAGCUCAAGUGAUGGCCGAUUUUAUUGGGCCUAAAGCGUCCGUAGCCGGCCGGGCAAGUCCGUUGGGAAAUCUGUUCGCUUACCGAACAGGCGUCCAGCGGAAACUGCUCGGCUUGGGACCGAAAGACCUGAGGGGUACGUCCGGGGUAGGAGUGAAAUCCUGUAAUCCUGGACGGACCACCGAUGGGGAAACCACCUCAGGAGGACGGAUCCGACGGUCAGGGACGAAAGCUAGGGUCUCGAAUCGGAUUAGAUACCCCCGUAGUCC